UUUUGGCUCAGGACGAACGCUGGCGGCGUGCCUAAUACAUGCAAGUUGAGCGCUGAAGGUUGGUACUUGUACCGACUGGAUGAGCAGCGAACGGGUGAGUAACGCGUGGGGAAUCUGCCUUUGAGCGGGGGACAACAUUUGGAAACGAAUGCUAAUACCGCAUAAAAACUUUAAACACAAGUUUUAAGUUUGAAAGAUGCAAUUGCAUCACUCAAAGAUGAUCCCGCGUUGUAUUAGCUAGUUGGUGAGGUAAAGGCUCACCAAGGCGAUGAUACAUAGCCGACCUGAGAGGGUGAUCGG
rnacentral:rRNA from 1 species